GGAAAAUUUCGUGACGUCGCGUGAAAUUCAUUUCAUUUUCCCCAACAUUUCCUUCCGGCUUCUUCGACACGUCUCCAGUUCAAUUCCCGUUUUCUCGAAUGCGUAUUUAAGCUCCUUUCCCUCCCCCUCUCUCCCUAUCUCCCACAUUCGAAAAAGAAGAACCCUACCAACUUCCGAACCCAUCUCUCUCGCUCUCGCUCUCGCUCUCUCCCUUCAUCUCUCUCUCUCUCUCUCUCUCUCUCUCUCUCCCUCUCAUCGCCUCUUCCUCCGUACCGUCCCUUCGUCGUCGCCGGAUCACCCCAACCGAUGGACCGGGUACGCAAAGCCCUUUCCGCCUUCGCCCUCCUCCUCCUCCUCGCUGGCGCAUGCACCGCCGCUCGGCCCGGUCCGACUGCGACCACGACGACGCUGCCCCUCCCGGUUCCUCCUCACGGCCCACGCCAUCAUCCCCACAAGACCGCCUUCCGCCACCGCGGCAGCAUCUUCAGCUACCUCCCCAAGAACUCGCCCGUGCAGCCUUCCGGCCCGUCCCCGAGGCACAACUCCGAGCUCAACUCCACGCCGGGGAACUGAACGGGUUGAAUCUUCGGGAAGCCCAUACAUUUCUCCGGAAUCCUCGCCGAAGGCCUGGUUCUUUCAUUCUGCUUCGUGGUAUCUGAUAAGAUGUUGUAUACGAAUACAUUUAUUUAUUUAUUUUUUGGCCGGAGAGCUUAGUCUAUGUAUACGUUUGGUCCAGCUCGACGGCUCGUCGCCGAUUAGGGACUGUAUAAUAGCGUCGACGGGAGUUGUUGGAUUAGCAUGUGUUUAAGCAUUCUUUCAUGACUUUUUAGGGUGAAGGCUGUUAUACGAUGUUACAUAUUACAUGAUAUACACGUUUGAUUGUUUGCAUAAGGAUUUGUCCGUGUAUCAUCUCGCUUUGCUGUCUCUCUCUCUCUCCCCGCGCCUUGUUGGCUUUUGACUUUGACAAUGGCGAAAGGCAG
rnacentral:lncRNA from 1 species